rnacentral:rRNA from 1 species
CCUACGGGGGGCAGCAGUGGGGAAUAUUGGACAAUGGGCGAAAGCCUGAUCCAGCCAUGCCGCGUGUGUGAAGAAGGCCUUCGGGUUGUAAAGCACUUUCAGUGGGGAAGAAAGCCUUGGGGCUAAUACCCUCGAGGAAGGACAUCACCCACAGAAGAAGCACCGGCUAACUCCGUGCCAGCAGCCGCGGUAAUACGGAGGGUGCGAGCGUUAAUCGGAAUUACUGGGCGUAAAGCGCGCGUAGGCGGUCUGAUAAGCCGGUUGUGAAAGCCCCGGGCUCAACCUGGGAACGGCAUCCGGAACUGUCAGGCUAGAGUGCAGGAGAGGAAGGAAGAAUUCCCGGUGUAGCGGUGAAAUGCGUAGAGAUCGGGAGGAAUACCAGUGGCGAAGGCGGCCUUCUGGACUGACACUGACGCUGAGGUGCGAAAGCGUGGGUAGCAAACAGGAUUAGAUACCCCAGUAGUC